UACGUAGGGGGCAAGCGUUGUCCGGAUUUAUUGGGCGUAAAGAGCGUGUAGGCGGCCAUGUAGGUCCGUUGUGAAAACUCGAGGCUCAACCUCGAGACGCCGAUGGAAACCAUGUGGCUAGAGUCCGGAAGAGGAGAGUGGAAUUCCUGGUGUAGCGGUGAAAUGCGCAGAUAUCAGGAAGAACACCCGUGGCUAAGGCGGCUCUCCAGUACGGUACUGACGCUGAGACGCGAAAGCGUGGGGAGCGAACAGG
rnacentral:rRNA from 1 species